rnacentral:tRNA from 1 species
UCCUGGUUAGCUCAAUGAAUAGAGUGCUCCCCUGGAAUUGGAGAGAUUCCUGGAUCGAUACCAGGACCAGGCU